GUUAUAAUCUGCCUAUUCUUAAUUCACGGAGAGGGCAAUGGCACCCCACUCCAGUACUCUUGCUUGGAAAAUCCCGUGGACGGAGGAGCCUGUUAGGCUGCAAUCCAUGGGGUCGCUAAGAGUCGGACACGACUGAGCAACUUCACUUUCACUUUUCACUUUCAUGCAUUGGAGAAGGAAAUGGCAACCCACUCCAGUGUUCUUGCCUGGAGAACCCCAGGGACGGGGGAGCCUGGUGGGCUGCCAUCUAUGGGGUCGCACAGAGUCGGACACGACUGAAGUGACUCAGCAUAGCAUAGCAUAGCAUUCUUAAUUCAAUAUACCAGUGUGUUCUUCUCAACACAAUUGGCGACAAGGAGGAUAGGAUGGUGGGAACAAUUUGCAUCCCUAUUCAAUGUCUUGGAGCUGUGAAUGGCAUACUAACUUUCUCUCCAUACUACUCAGUCUCUGUGGGAAGAAACCAGUGCUAACAGUAAUGUUGCUGCUGGUUGCUGGAAAUCCCUACCCUAAAUCAUCAGUGCUGUAAAAGGUCAGAUGCUCCCUACAGAGACUCAGUUGCCAACUAAAGGCCCCAGUCUGAGAUGGGUGUGUUUCCAAUUAUUCUCUAAAGGAGACCCUCCUGGGUAUCAGUUCUGGAGGUGAUGGGCUACGGUCACAUGUGAAAAUCCCUCAUGUUUUGGCAAGGUGAGCUAACCAGGAUGGAAGGGCUCUGCCUUUUUCCUCCAGGCAGAGACCAGGGCGAGGGCUCAGGUCCUAGUGUUACGGACCUGGACGCUUGGACCCUUUAAUCAAUAGAAAUUGAUGAGGCCACAUGGAUUUCGGGCAAGGACUUGCUAGGGCUUAAGCUACAGCACACGGAGGCAGCAAUAGGAAGCAGGUGCUCUUGCUCUUUUUCUCCAGAGAGCUAGCUGGUCCCUUAAAUAGGGUGAGGGUAGGCGUGGGAGCUUGGUUGGAGGUGUAGUUUGGGUGGGCUCUCCAGCCCUCUGAGGGUGCCUGGUGCAAGGAUCCGCCCUUUGUGGAGGGCCGUCUGCAAGGGUCAUACACAGUCCUUCAUCUCUGCACCUGUCACAUCAAACAUGGUGGAUAAGCUCAUUACUGCUGCCCCAGGAAGGCUACCCAUGGGCUUCCAACCUUUACUGGGUGUGGAGGAAGCCACCCGUGUUUUGGAGAAGAGCCCCACCCAAUCAUUGGCAAGGUGUUUCCCUCAUGGGCCCAGCCCUGACUACUUCCUCUGGAGGCUUCCACAAUAGCAGAGAUGACAUCAAGGAAGACAUGGCAAUGAAGACUUCCUGGCAUGCAGGAUCUUAAUCCUCCAACCAGAGAUGGAACUCAGGCCCCCUGCAUUGGUAGUGUGGAGUCUUAGCCACUGGACCACCAGGAAAGUCCCCCAACGUGAUUCUGUAGUGCAGAUGGCUUUGGAUGACUGUUUAGCUUUAGAUUACUCACUGACCAAAAAAGGAGGUAUGAGCGCUUUAAAGAGCACCGCCUUUCGCAUGUAUAUUAAAAAUUCUGGACAAGUUCAGACAAAUUUAUAGAAGGUGGCCCUAGGGGGGACAAGAGUUCUGUAAUCUCACCUAAUCAAAAAUGUUGGCUUUAUCUAAGGACUCUGAUUAUUUUUUGACUGAACCACAACAAAUGGAUUUCAAGCUAUCGUUUGUCUAUUGAUGAUACUGUUGAUUGGCAUUUUUGUGUUGCUCCUAUAUUUCAUGUAC
ensembl:lncRNA